GGGAAAGUUGCGAGAGGGCGGGAAAUAAUGGCCUUGGGCGCCAUUUUGUUUUUGGUCAAGAUAAGCCUAUAUAUAUAUAUAUAUAUGUAUAUGUAUAUGUAUAUGUAUAUGUAUAUGUAUAUGUAUAUAUGGCACAAACACAAACUAAAUAAAAUUAAUUCACAUAGGCAUGCUUUCAAGCUAGGAGGCCACACUGAGGCUUGGUUGCCAACUUUUCACACCAGCCCACGUUCCUCUGCCCAACAACAGGUUAAACUGCAAAUAGAGUGUUUUGUUGCUGCUGAUUAAGCGGUAUAUAAAUCUUGUCAGAUAAAAGGUACGGUGGGUGUCAUGUUCUAGCUUUUCUCUGUGCCCGUCUGUGUAAAUUACAGAUGAGGCCUGUUUUGUUUCUUACUACUAACUAGGCAAUUCACCUCAUUGUAGGACGGCCACGUUUUUCACCACCCAAACAGCAGCUUUGCGGUUGAGGUGGGGGGAGACAUUCACUGCCCUGAGCUUUUGGAGGAGGUGGAAUAUAUGUGUGCAAUUAAAUAUAUAUAUAUAUAUAUAUACAUUAUAUAUAAUAAACAAUGCUACUCCAAACCUCCAGGAAGUUUUUAAACAGAGGUUGGUUGACCAUCUGUCGAGAUUUCUUCAACUGUAGAUUCUUUCAUUGCAGGGGGUUAGACUAGAUGAACCUUGGGGUUCCCUUCUAACUCGGCUUCUUUUUCUUUAACAGAUUCUACGAAAUGUGCAAACACCCACACCUCCCCAAUAAGGCAUGACACCGACAGCAUCCCCCUACGGCUGGACGCAACAUCCCAACCACUUUGGUACCAGCACACCCCCCACUUGGGAGCACAUUUGAGGCAUGCGGCCGGAUGAGGCCCGCGGGCUGACAUGCAAAAGAAAAUUUGCUUCGGUGCGCAAAUCUGCUAGUGAGAAGGGGAGCAUUCAAGAGUUGGGUAGAUUUCCCGUUCUUCUUCCAAAGGAGGAUGUAUUCAAAGCAAGGUUUCGGUGGGGAGGGAAGUAGAAGAUUCAAACGCACAAACCACAAAUCCAUUUUUCACAGGCCUGCCCUGAAAAGCGCAUGACCUUCUAACGGUGUCACAUGCUCAAGUCCUCGUAAGCAGGCCUUGGGAGUUGCUGAGCGUCAAUCAAGUGCUUCCGUCCAUCAAGGCAACGCAAAUGGGUCACAUGAAGCCCUUCACCUUCCCCCCCCCUCGCUCUAAGCACUUGUAUAAAUUAUUUCACACACACACACACACACACACACACACACACGUCUCCUGCUUCUUUUCAGAAUUUGUUCCAUUCACUCCUCCACAAGAACAUCUUUUAAAUUCACAGACAGUGCCGGACUUACGUGUAAGCUAAACAAGCUAUAGCUUAGGGCUCCCCCUCUCUUGGGGCCCCCAAAAAAAUUUAAAGGAAAGAAACCCUGGGUGCACAUUUCCAAAAUAUAAGAUUAAAAACAACAAUAAAUAAAAUAAAACCUACAUACAGCAACAAUGUUUUUGUGUUGUGUAGGCUCCUAUGGUGUAAGUAAAGGGCCCCGCCUGCUAGACUGUUCCCUAAAAUAUCACUUUGAUAAAAUACAUAUUUUGUCAUGUGCAAAUGGCUUUAGAUACCUAUUAGGCCCAUAAAUUACCAUAUAUAUAUAUAUACAGCAUAUAUUCAACACAAAAAACAGUGACAAUUUGUUGUUGACAAAGGACAGCUGGACAUAUAAAGGGCUCCAUUAUCUUCAGUAGCUGAGGACCUCAUCAAACCUACAUCUGGCCCUGUUCACAGAGUUGUGACUUUAUUUUCCUAGUGACUGGUCCAGGUGCAAAUGGUAAACUGAAAAGAUGUAUUAUUCUUAUGACUUAUAUUCUGCUUAAAGUUUUCUAAAUGCAAAACAAAUUCUCUCUCUCCUUGUAUCCGGCACCAUACAAUGGUGUGACUGUCUAAUAAAAGGAAAAGGGGAUGAGGAGAGGAGAGGAAAAACCAGGGAACUAUGCAUGUGUUCUUAAGAAAACGACAUAAUAUAUUGUGUUCUUCAGAAAGCGACAUAAUAUAUUGUUUCAUUUACCGUAAUAACUAUGAUCACCUUUGCCAACUGACCGGGGGGGAAAUGCCUAACCUGCUCCUGUGCUUUAAACUGGAUUGCAAGGAAAGUUAGCAACUGCUCUGUUGCACGCACCUUGGAAAACUAGAGGAAGGUUUGCUGACACGUAUUUUUUUCCCUUUUCCCUUUUACAAUGUUCAAGCGGGUUAUAUAAACAUCACGAGACACACCUGGUGGAAUCAAUUCACUGGGGUCAUUACCCCAGGACCUAUUUGAAACUUACCUGCCCAUCAGGUGACAAAUUAAUUCCACUCCACACGUACGCAUGCGAUUCAUCAUCCAUCACACUCGCACCAGCUCCCUAAAAGCUGAAGGAGAGUUCAGAGGACACCUGACCCAACCUUGUUGUGUAUUCUGGAGCGGACGUUUUAAAUAAUUUUCUAUAUAUAGCUGACAGACGAAGAAUCAGAAGCUAUAUUCCACCCCCCCUUCCUUUCCCCUUUUCUGUUUUUUCCUUUUCCUAUUUUUGGUUUGUGUUUCUAUUUAGUUUUGAUAUUUGAUUAAAAAAAAAGAUACAGGAUACCUGAGAUUAAGCUUUGCCUAUUUUAUUCCAGACUUCGGUAAAACUGAUGGAAUUAUAAAAUGCAAAAUGAGAAUCCCCGGGGAGAGCAUUGCACAAACGGGGAGCCAGUGCAGAAAAGGCCUGCUCUCUCUGAACCUCUCGUGAAGGAGGCACACGAAGAAAGGCCUCGGAGGAUGAUCCGGGUUGGUUUAUAUUAUAAUAGGAUCACUUUAUUGCAUGUUAUAAUUCUGGGUGUUUCUUUGCGUCAUUGACUUUGAAGCCAUGCUAGCCGGGGCUGAUGGGAACCAUCCUGCAAAACUUCUUGCGGCGGCAAAGGGCAGCUUAGGCAAUCCUGAUCCAGAGAGGAUCAAAUGCCGGCUUUUUAUGUCAGAAGGGAACCACCCAUGUAAUGCUCCUCUGCCACACUUUUCCUGCGCAAUUUGGGGAUUAAGUGCCUGGACCUUGCUGCUGGCUUCCUCACAAAACACAGCUGGCCUCCACGGUUGUUCCAGGACGAGGGCAGAGACAUGAGUGAACCUAAAAUACAGGGUUAGGCGCUGCGAUUAAAGAGAGUAUGAGGGACUAGUAGCUGGGGAGGGCAGGGUAUAAAUAAAAUUUAUUAUUAUUAAUUACCAUAUUUUUAGCUCCAUAAGACGCACCUUUUUCCUCCUAAAAAGUAAGGGGAAAUGUCUGUGCGUCUUAUGGAGCGAAUGUGUGGUCCCUGGAGCCGAAUUGCCCAUGGGCAAAAAGCAGGUCGUGCUUUUUUUUUUUAGAAAGAGGGAAGCCGCUGAUCAGCUGAUCGGCAAGCGAUUGGGAGGAGACAUAAGGGACUCUAGCAAUAAAGGAGGCUGCCGGGGAGGGGGGAGGUAAAAACACAUGGAGCCUCAGGAUUUUUGCAUUGAGUCACCCCAAAUUCUCCAUCAGAUCACAUAGCAUGCCCAUGGCUACAGCCUGCACCAAUAAAAACACGCAUCCACUGUUUUGUGGGGCCAUAAUGGCGCAGAAACAUGGUUACAAAGCACGGAUCCACAUGGAUCCUCAGGAUUUUUGCACUGGGUCGCCCCAAAUACACCAUCAGAUCACAUAUCAUGGCUGCGGCCACAGCAUGAACCACAAAAAUCAUACAUCCACUGUUUCAUUCAGAAUCUUUUUUUUCUUGUUUUCCUCCUCUAAAAACUAGGUCCGUCUUAUGGUCACGUGCAUCUUAUGGAGCAAAAAAA